GCGAGCGGCGGCGCUGAUUGCUGUUCUCAUGGCAGGAGGAUGGGGCUGGCGCUCAUUAGCGGGCGGCGGGAGGCAGGGCAGGGUUCGCGAGCUCACAAAUUGCCUCGGAGCAGAGACACAAGCAAUGUCCCCAUCCCUGUGGGACUCCCCAGGAGAGGCUCCCACACCCAGGCUCAUCCUGUGCCCACCCCUGUGGAGCAGACACCCCCAGCCCUUCGGCAGAGGGGAUCAGCACCAUCCCCCAGACCCCGCUGUCACGCCGAGCCCCGGCAGAGCCAGCGAGCUGCGUGUCCCCACGCAGGCACUGCCGCCCCAGGUGGCCUUGUUUUCCUCGGCAAAGGCGGAUGGGAGCCACCAUCUUCUGAGCAAAGAGCAUUUUUAAUCUCCUGCUCCCGCUCCAUGCAAUUAACUUGAUUCCCUCCCCUCGUUUCCUGCAGAGGUUUAAUUAAAAUGCAUUGUUCGCCUCGCCAAUUAUUUGCUCUGUCCCCCGGAUAACCUCUGUGCAGCGGCUGCUUCUUGGGCCUUUUUUUUUUUCCUUUCUUUCUUUCUCUUUUUUUUCCCCCUUCCUUGUUGUUAUUGAGGUUUCUCUCCUCUCCCCCCUCGGCAGCUCCAGCAGCUUUUACCUGCCCGGGAGAGCGGGAUGGGGGAAUGAUGGAAGCGCUGCAGCCCCGCACGCACCGGGGCGGGCGGGGGCCGCGGCUUCCCCGCGGAGCCGGGCGGGGGGAGCGCCCGGAGCUCCGUGCCCCGAGCAGCUGAAACAACAAGACCUUGUUGACUCGCUUUGAGUUCCCGGCACUCGGCAGCUGCUGCUCCAGCAGGCUUGAAAUCCAUACUCCUGGCUGUUCCUGCCCUGAUAUGCAAGUGCUCUAUAAUUGAAAACUCUCAGUUGUGCACUUCUCCCAUGCAAAGCGAAGGCUUCAAAGCAGCAGGUGGAAAUUGAGCCGAUAUCUUGGCUGCCGAAGUGAAAAUUUGAAUGAAAAUUUAAUUUUUCCUUCUCAAAGCAGGGGAUUGGGUUCCUGGGGCCCUGGCCAAAAGCCUGAUGUGACCUUGACUUGCAGGGGCAGCGAGGGGAGCAAACCCCAGCUCUGCCCCAGGAAUACAGGAGAUGCAGCAAAGGAGAUUUUUCUGGGAAUUCUCUUGGCCAGACAGAGUUUCAGCUUCUGUGUAACAAUAAUGUGAUUUCCUGGUGGUUUUAUGGCUUUAGUGAGUUGAGGAGAGGGGACUGAACAUCUCCUGGAUUUUGAGCAUCACCUGUGAGGCUCAGUCCUUUCCUACAAGGACGCUCAGCAGCCUCGGGGCCUGUUGGUGGUGUUGAGUGGUGCUCCCACACUCAGGUGCUUCCUCCGGGUGCUUCUCUGCAACAUCCUCGAUGCUCUUUGGCACCCUGCUGUUGAUCCCCCCUGGUGGCCCAGGGCCCUGUGCUUUCUGUCGUUGUCACCUGCAGAAGGCAGUGGUGACACUGGCAUUGUGCAGGAGGUGAAACAUCACCAUGAGCAUCCCCUCCUGGGCUGGGGGCACCCAAAGGCUCCUGGGGGGUGCCAGGGGCUGGAUCCACUGCGGAGGAGUUUCCCAUGCCCACAUUUGGGGCACAGGGUUGAAGGAGAGGAGAGGGAAUGUGGCUGUGGAGUCGCUGCCUGAGCUGGAGCUGUGCCACUGCCGGAUCUGCGAGGGAGGGGUGUUCCACCGAGGGGCCGGGGGCUUUCAGGGGGGCGUGCGGCCCCUUAGGAGCCUUUUCUUGCAUCCCACGUGGAUUUGAUUUCCCAGCCCUCGGAUUCCUUCGGGCUGAGGAAAGGAGCCGCCUGUGCGAAGGAGCCGCGCGGCCGCAGCGGGCGGGUCCCUCCCGGCUCUUAUUUUGUGUUUGUUUUUAAUUGAAAGACAAAAGGCCGCGUGCUGGAGGCAGCCUGCCUUUCCCUUUGUCCUCGGUCUUGAGCAGAGGGAUGGGAAGGGAACACGGCAAUCCCGAUUUUACCCAUCCCUGGGGCCAGCAUUCCCUGUUCCCAUGAGACCCCCAGACCCCACCGAGCAGCAGCUGCCCCUUUCCUGGGGGUGAAGGGGGAGCAGCUGCGGGGUGAUGCCACAGGCAGGUGUGUCCAUCCCUCCUGCUCUCCUGAGAUUUAGCCCUUUCUUCUUUCUUUUUUUUUUCCCCUUUUAAUCCCUGGAAACAAAGCCAGAGAGCAGCUGCGCCCGGCAGCGCAUCCCGCUGCAGGCAGGGCCGGGGCUCUGCUCACAGGCGGGAUCUCGGCUUUGCAGGUGAUUCCCGAAAAAUCCCUUUGCCAAAGCGAACCCUGGGGCUGCCCGCGGGUUUCCGGGCAGGUCAGGGGGUUGGCCGGGCCACGGAUGUGUUGGGAGUCCAGGAGAGGAGCCCACCCUGCAGCACCCGGGGCUGCCUGGCAAAGGGGUGGCUAUUUCUGGGCUGCAAAAGGAAAAUUGUCCAACUGCUGAAAUUGGCAGUGAACCCUAGGACAAUAAUAAACAACUUCCCGGCCAAGGUCCCUGGCUAUUUUCUCUCUGUUUUGGCUUGGAGAGGAAGAUUUAUUUUGUUUGCUGCUUGGAAUUUUUUUCCCUUGUCUUUUUCUCUUUUUUUCCCUCUUCCUUUGGAGGUAUUUAAAGCCAACAACCCCACCGAGGCCAGGCUGGGGUUGCUGCUCUCCUGGAUGUCCCUGGGUCCGUGGAGGUGUCAGUGUCACUGCCUGCCAUGGUGGCACUCCAAGCAGAACGUUUUGGGAUGUGUUCAAAGCCCAUCCCUUACAGACCUGCAGGGCAUUUGUAGCUUCCAGAUGAGCCUUGACAGUAAAGAAAUUAAAUAAUAAAAACCAAAUAAAUAAGCAGGAAAAAAUUCCACUAACUCCCAGGAAGGGUUUUCCUGGCUGUGGGACUGACCAG